rnacentral:rRNA from 1 species
UACAGAGGGUGCAAGCGUUGUUCGGAAUCACUGGGCGUAAAGCGCGCGCAGGCGGAUGGUUGCGUCCGGAGUGAAAUUUCGCCGCUCAACGGCGAAGCUGCUUUGGAUACGGACCGUCUAGGGACCGGUAGAGGCUGGUAGAAUUGCAGGUGUAGCGGUGGAAUGCGUAGAGAUCUGCAAGAAUACCCCGUGGCGAAGGCGGCCAGCUGGGCCGGAUCCGACGCUGAGGCGCGAAAAGCCAGGGGGAGCAAAACGGGG